rnacentral:rRNA from 15 species
GUCAAGUGACCAAGCGUGCACGGUGGAUGCCUUGGCAGUCAGAGGCGAUGAAGGACGUGGUAAUCUGCGAAAAGGUUCGGGGAGUCGAUAAACAGGCUUUGAUCCGAACAUGUCCGAAUGGGGAAACCCACUCUACUUGUAGAGUAUCCCACAGUGAAUACAUAGCUGUGAGGAGGCGAACCCGGGGAACUGAAACAUCUAAUUACCCGGAGGAAAA